ACUAAUUUGGUUUCCAAUAUAGUAGAGAAAGGGAAGUGAGAAAAUGAAUUCUUCGCUGUCCUAAGGCAAAACUUGAGUGAGCACAAAGAUGAGAGCCAGCAUCCCAGGUUUCCAGCCAAAGACAUGAGCAGUUUUACCGGCUAUAAGACUGAAGUAACUGAGAUAUCUCUCCUCAAAAAAGUUUCCCAAUAUAAAAUGAACAAUGCCUUUACAAAUAGACCUGCAGUCUGGAAAUAACUGCUAGAAAGUCCUUUCUGGAGUCCUAUCUACAAACAUAUUCAGGAAAGCAGAAUAAAUUAUUUCAAUCA